UCAAGUAAUUAAGUGCAUGUGGUGGAUGCCUUGGCAGUCAGAGGCGAUGAAAGACGUGAUAGCCUGCGAAAAGCUCCGGGGAGGCGGCAAAUAUCCUUUGAUCCGGAGAUGUCUGAAUGGGGGAACCCACCUACUUUAAGGUAGGUAUUGCAACAUGAAUACAUAGUGUUGCAAGGCGAACGAGGGGAAGUGAAACAUCUCAGUACCCUUAGGAAAAGAAAUCAAUUGAGAUUCCCUCAGUAGCGGCGAGCGAACGGGGAUCAGCCCAUUAAGUUAUGUGUGUUUUAGUGGAACGCUCUGGGAAGUGCGAACGUAGAGGGUGAUAUUCCCGUACACGAAAGGGCACACAUAAUGAUGACGAGUAGGGCGAGGCACGUGAAACCUUGUCUGAAUAUGGGGGGACCAUCCUCCAAGGCUAAAUACUCCUGACUGACCGAUAGUGAACCAGUACCGUGAGGGAAAGGCGAAAAGAACCCCUGUGAGGGGAGUGAAAUAGAUCCUGAAACCGCAUGCAUACAAGCAGUGGGAGCACCUUCGUGGUGUGACUGCGUACCUUUUGUAUAAUGGGUCAGCGACUUAUAUUCAGUAGCAAGGUUAACCGUAUAGGGGAGCCGUAGAGAAAUCGAGUCUUAAUAGGGCGUUUAGUUGCUGGGUAUAGACCCGAAACCAGGCGAUCUAUCCAUGAGCAGGUUGAAGGUUGGGUAACACUAACUGGAGGACCGAACCCACUGUCGUUGAAAAGCCAGGGGAUGACUUGUGGAUAGGGGUGAAAGGCUAAUCAAGCCUGGUGAUAGCUGGUUCUCCCCGAAAGCUAUUUAGGUAGCGCCUCGGACGAAUACCAUAGGGGGUAGAGCACUGUUUCGGCUAGGGGGUCAUCCCGACUUACCAAACCGAUGCAAACUCCGAAUACCUAUGAGUACUAUCCGGGAGACAGACUGCGGGUGCUAACGUCCGUAGUCAAGAGGAAAACAAUCCAGACCGCCAGCUAAGGCCCCAAAAUCAUAGUUAAGUGGGAAACGAUGUGGGAAGGCAUAGACAGCUAGGAGGUUGGCUUAGAAGCAGCCACCCUUUAAAGAAAGCGUAAUAGCUCACUAGUCGAGUCGGCCUGCGCGGAAGAUGUAACGGGGCUAAAACUAUGUGCCGAAGCUGCGGAUNNUGCUGGAGGUAUCAGAAGUGCGAAUGCUGACGUGAGUAACGACAAAACGGGUGAAAAACCCGUUCGCCGAAAGACCAAGGGUUCCAGUCCAACGUUAAUCGGGGCUGGGUGAGUCGACCCCUAAGGCGAGGCCGAAAGGCGUAGUCGAUGGGAAAAUGGUUAAUAUUCCAUUACUUCUGUGUAAUGCGAUGAGAGGACGGAGAAGGCUAAAUCAGCCUGGCGUUGGUUGUCCAGGUGAAAGGAUGUAGGCAUGUAUCUUAGGCAAAUCCGGGGUACUCUAUGCUGAGAUCUGAUAGCAAGCUGUACUUGUACAGCGAAGUGGUUGAUGCCAUGCUUCCAGGAAAAGUCUCUAAGCUUCAGUUACACAGGAAUCGUACCCGAAACCGACACAGGUGGUCAGGUCGAGUAGACCAAGGCGCUUGAGAGAACUCUGCUGAAGGAACUAGGCAAAAUGGUACCGUAACUUCGGGAGAAGGUACGCUGUUGUUGGUGAUGGAACUCGCUUCCUGAGCUGACGACAGCCGCAGAAACCAGGCCGCUGCAACUGUUUAUUAAAAACAUAGCACUCUGCAAACACGAAAGUGGACGUAUAGGGUGUGAUGCCUGCCCGGUGCUGGAAGGUUAAUUGAUGGGGUUAGCGUAAGCGAAGCUCUUGAUCGAAGCCCCAGUAAACGGCGGCCGUAACUAUAACGGUCCUAAGGUAGCGAAAUUCCUUGUCGGGUAAGUUCCGACCUGCACGAAUGGCAUAAUGAUGGCGGCGCUGUCUCCAGCAGAGGCUCAGUGAAAUCGAAAUCGCUGUGAAGAUGCAGUGUACCCGCGGCUAGACGGAAAGACCCCGUGAACCUUUACUGCAGCUUGACACUGAACUUUGACCUUACUUGUGUAGGAUAGGUGGGAGGCUUUGAAGCUGGAACGCUAGUUCCAGUGGAGCCGUCCUUGAAAUACCACCCUGGUAAUGUUGAGGUUCUAACUCUGUCCCGUGAUCCGGGACGAGGACCGUGUCUGGUGGGUAGUUUGACUGGGGCGGUCUCCUCCUAAAGAGUAACGGAGGAGUACGAAGGUGCGCUCAGCGUGGUCGGAAAUCACGCGUAGAGUAUAAAGGCAAAAGCGCGCUUAACUGCGAGACCCACAAGUCGAGCAGGUACGAAAGUAGGUCUUAGUGAUCCGGUGGUUCUGUAUGGAAGGGCCAUCGCUCAACGGAUAAAAGGUACUCUGGGGAUAACAGGCUGAUACCGCCCAAGAGUUCAUAUCGACGGCGGUGUUUGGCACCUCGAUGUCGGCUCAUCUCAUCCUGGGGCUGAAGCAGGUCCCAAGGGUAUGGCUGUUCGCCAUUUAAAGAGGUACGCGAGCUGGGUUUAGAACGUCGUGAGACAGUUCGGUCCCUAUCUACCGUGGGCGCUGGAAAUUUGAGAGGAUCUGCUCCUAGUACGAGAGGACCAGAGUGGACGAACCUCUGGUGUACCGGUUGUGACGCCAGUCGCAUCGCCGGGUAGCUAUGUUCGGAAGGGAUAACCGCUGAAAGCAUCUAAGCGGGAAGCCUACCUCAAGAUAAGAUUUCCCUAGGACUUUAUGUCCUCUAAAGAGCCGUUCGAGACUAGGACGUUGAUAGGUUGGAUGUGGAAGCAUAGUGAUAUGUGAAGCUGACCAAUACUAAUUGCUCGUGAGGCUUGACUAU
rnacentral:rRNA from 1 species